rnacentral:misc_RNA from 1 species
AGAGCACGACGAACACAUAAAGUAGCUGUCUUGCCAUCAAAAUUGUCUCCAUACCUGGUAGAUGCAAUUGAAUAGAGACGUACAUUGUGAGGUGCCCCUGGCUUCUUUGGGUUUUCACCAGGAGGGACAACACCGUAACUUUGUCCUUCCCAGUAAGGAACAUUGCCACCAUGAUCAAUCACAAUAUGGCAAGUUUCUCCAGGAGCUUUUGGUCCUACAAGCCUCUCAACAGAGACAAUGGUUGCUGUGUAAGGUUCCUUGGGCUUGUAUAAAUUCAAAGGAGGUUCUUUGGCAUCUUCAAGUUCCAAAGGUGAAACUGCAACCUUAGAUCUGCU